rnacentral:rRNA from 1 species
GACGAACGCUGGCGGCGUGCUUAACACAUGCAAGUCGAGCGGUAAGGCCCUUUCGGGGGUACACGAGCGGCGAACGGGUGAGUAACACGUGGGUGACCUGCCCUCAGCUCUGGGAUAAGCCUGGGAAACUGGGUCUAAUACUGGAUAUGACUCCACGGUGCAUGUCGUGGGGUGGAAAGCCUUGUGCGGCUGAGGAUGGGCCCGCGGCCUAUCAGCUUGUUGGUGGGGUGANGGCCUACCAAGGCGACGACGGGUAGCCGGCCUGAGAGGCGACCGGCACACUGGGACUGAGACACGGCCCAGACUCCUACGGGAGGCAGCAGUGGGGAAUCUUGCGCAAUGGGCGAAAGCCUGACGCAGCGACGCCGCGUGAGGGAUGACGG